UGCUCGCUAGUACAUAAACUAUAAUCAUUCUAAAAGUAAGUUUAAAAUGUAUUUUAGGUCCAGUUGAAGUUAAAGAUACACAAGUUUGUGCUUUCUAAAAAGCUGAAGACUGCUUCUCUCUAUCCUAACUUUAGGUAAUAUGUGUGCUCGUUGUUAUUGAUUUAGAAUUAGAAAUGUGGUAUUUUUAUAUAUUGAUUGAUAUAAAUUGAAUUUACUUUAAGUUUGUGCGUUAUACAUGCAUGCUUUUAAAUCAAUUGUUCACUUUACAGUACUUUUCGAAAACUGGUAAAACAUUUACAACUUGUUGUGUUUCUCAGGAGAUGUGCCUAGAUCGGCACGCCGCAGUUAAAUAAUGAUCUAUAAUAUACCGUUAUUGUUUAGCAAAACAAAUGGUGCAUAUUGCAGAUUAACAAAGUAAAUAAACACGUAUAUAUAUAUAUAUAUAUAUAUAUAUAUAUAUAUAUAUAUAUAUAUAUAUAUAUAUUACCAAAGUCUGAUAAACUAUAGGUAUACAAUUAUAUCAACAUCAAUAAUACAUAUAAUACAUACAUAAACACAGACUAUGUGACAGCAGAAGGUGUUGUAGAAUAAACAAACAUUAUUUUAACAUUUCGGAUCUAAGCUUAAAAGAUCUAAAUAUAAAUUUACCUAAAUUACACAAUUCUUUUACAUUAUUAGUACUCAUCAGUUUAAUAAAUUUGUACAUCUAUUAUACUUGAUAUUUCAAUAUUGAAUUUCAAUGUGCCAUAUAUGUAUUAUGGCAAGCCGUUUUACUAUUUAUUCGAAUUUCAAGAUAUCUCCUAUAAUAUAUAAGAUAUCUUAUAUAAUAUAUAAGGUAUCUCCUUUAAUAUAUAAGAUAUUUUAUAUAAUUUCAUUUUUAUAAGAUAUCUCAUAUAUUAUAUAAGAUAUCCUUAAUGUUAUAUGAGAUAUCUUUAAUGUUAUUUAGAUAUAUUUAAUUUUAUAUAAGAUAUCUCAUAAAGUAUCUUAUAAAGUGUAUGAGAUAUCUUAUAAAGUGUAUGAGAUAUCUUAUAAACAAUUUUUAUAUAAGAUAUCUUAUAUAAUUUAUAAGAUAUCUUAUAUAGUUUAUAAAAUAUCUUAUAUAGUUUAUAAGAUAUCUUAUAUAGUUUAUAAGAUAUCUUAUAUAGUUUAUAAGAUAUCAUAUAGUUUAUAAGAUAUCUUAUAUAGUUUAUGAGAUAUCUUAUAUAAGAUAUCUUAUAAACUAUAUAAGAUAUCUUAUAAACUAUAUAAGAUAUCUUAUAAACUUUAGGAGAUAUCUUAAACUCUAUGAGAUAUCUUAUGAACUAAAUAAGAUAUCUCCUAUAGUAUAAAAGAUAUCUUAUAUAAUUUCAUUUUUAUGAGAUAUCUUAUAUAUUAUAUGAGAUAUCUUAUAUAUUAUAUAAGAUAUCUUAUAUAUUAUAUAAGAUAUCUUUAAUGUUAUAUAAGAUAUUUCCUAAAAUUUAUAAGAUAUUUAAUAUACUUUAUAAAAUAUCUUAUAUAAUUUAUAAGAUAUCUUAUAUUGUUUAGAAGAUAUCUUAUAUAGUUUAUAAGAUAUCUCAUAUAGUUUAUAAGAUAUCUUCUAAAGUUUAUGAGAUAUCUUAUAAAGACAAUUAUAUAAGAUAUCUGAUAAGUUAUAUGAGAUAUCUUAUAAACUAUAUAAGAUAUCUUAUAAACUAUAUGAGAUAUCUUAUAAACUAUAUUAGAUAUCUUAUAAACUAGUUAAAAUAUCUUAUAAACUAUAUAAGAUAUCUUAAACUCUAUGAGAUAUCUUGAAGUAAGAAUAAAUAGCAAAACGGCUUGCCAUAAUGUAUAGUAAAACGAACAUGAAACAAUGACAGUUGAUCGGAACUGUAUAACACAUACUAUUAGUUAAUUUUCCGGCAUUUGUUGUCUUAUCCUGAUACGAGAAAAGUCUGUACAUAAUUAUUUAUCUCAAUUAACAUGAUUAAGCCAAUAGCUGUUGCUACAUCUCAUCUCAUCAUAAAGCAACCAAUCAGAAUCUAUUUGUGAUAAGUAAUUAUUUCAAGAUGGUGUGUAUGUCGACUGAAACUAAUAGCUCCGCACCGUGAUGCGAACCAAGAUGCGAAGCAAAAACCACGCAGUUGCCACAUUCUAUAUGUGUUUUCUCCUAGUCAGAAGCCUGUAAUUGGAUUGGAUUUUAUUUGUUACUGUUUCUCACAUUUGUUUUUUGUUUAUUGUUUUGUAGGUUGUUUUCCUGUUUUGUGUGGUCACAUCACUGUCCCAGUUAAGAGUGAGGGUUGGGCGUUUGUUGGUGUGGUUCAUACGACAUAUUGUUUUUUGUUUUUUUUUUUCAGUUUCUCGGUUUUUACAUACAUGGUAUUUAGACCGCUGGUUGUCCUGUUUGAAUAUACUUUCACUUGUCAUUUCGGGGUACUUUAAUUAUAGCUUGCUAUUCGGCGUGAACCAAGACUCCGUAUUGACGGUCGUUCUUUGACCUAUAAUAGUUAAUUUAUUAUACAUUGUGACUUGAAACAGAGUUUUCUCAUUUGCACUCAUACUUCAUCUGUUUGUUUAUAGUACGUUGCUUUUGGUGCAGUUUUAGUCUCGACUAUAACCAGUAGAUGAAGAUUGCGAGUCUUCUGAACAAUGAACAAAUCAAUAGUGCUUGAUUGCACCACAGACUAGUACGUUAAUAAAGGUUUUGUUUGGUGCUUUCAUUUUUAUUCUUGUUAGCUUUCCACAGUUUCACAUAGUUGCCGUUUUCAAAGAACUUCAAAAUAUAGCAGCUAUAGUGCUUUGGUUCUUUGUAUGAGUCGAACAUAGCUUUUGAAACAAAUUUUUGACAAAGAAGUAUUCUAUUCCAUUUUCAAACGUCAAUGAACAAUUAAUUUCAUUUAGUCUGAAAACGAUCUGAAAUAAGACCGUCAAAUAGCAAAACUCAAUAUAAAUCGCAAACUUGCCGAAGCUGCCGAAGCUGGAAAAAUAGAACUAAAGAGUCUAGUUUGCCAGGGCCGGUUAAAUAGCCCUAGCUGCCAUAAAUGAAUGAAUGGUUUCUUUUCAGCAGGUAAGACAGUUUAAGCGUGAUUUUAAUAACUUGGCUAUGAAAAGUUUAUCAUACGGUAUUAUUUUAAUCAAUUUUGGUAUUUUGGUAUUAGAUAAUAUGCUUAGAAAUCACACCAAUCGUGAUAUAAUUAUUGUAUUUGGCUAUUAAAAAGAGGACGUACUCUCUCUGUGCCCAUGAAUCUGUCACUGGUACUUCGUCAAUAGUUGUAUAGCAUAUUAUCGUAGAGUGGUUGUUUCGGACACAAAUUAAGGCUUAGUAAAUAAGAACGUCUCCUUGCAAUGAUACAUGUAUUGAACUCUGAAAAGCUAACGUCACAACAACGGUGACGUCGUGUACAUGGAGAGCGGUAGCGGGAACACCUCAUGUGCAAUUCUUAACAUUCUGGGGGCCCGCAAAUGAAUUUAAUUACAAUAAAAUGAAAAUAAAUUAUGAAAAUUUCACUUUGAAUUACUGUCUCUGAAAACUUUGAAUAGCUUUAACUGUCUUUGAUCAUGAGCACGAAUAAAAUAAAAUUAUUUCUGUAAUAAAGCACGAACAGUUAACAGUCCAGAAUGUUAAGAAUUGCACAUGAGGUGUUCCCGCUACCGCUCUCCAUUUAUACUGCAAUCAGCUAUUUUACUAUACAGAUAAAGCUAUACGUAUAAACGUUAGCUUUAUACGUCAAUGACCUCAACUCACCUAUAGCCGCCUACUUACAACGUCACGUCACAACCAUGACAACGUGUAGUACAAUGGUCAAACUUUUAUGAAUUUAAACCUGUUAUGUCUUCAAAUGUAAUUAUAUAUCAUGUUUAUCAAAUGUUAUUAAUUAAAUUCAUUUUCCCUUUCUAAUUCCUUAAAUUGCCAAUGCUUACCGCCUAGACUACGCUCAUAGGGAAAUACCCUAAAAUGGUACCCCAGGGGAAAUUCCCAACACUUUUUUAAUAAUAUUUGUUUCAUAUUUUUUAUUAUUUUUUUAUUUUUUAUCGAUUUCAGUUAAAAACAAUAUACGAUAGUGUCUUGAAAUAUGAAUUAUUUGUAUUCGCACGAAACGGGAAAAUGCUCGGUAGAACUCGCAUUUUCCCUUUCUAAGCCUCAUACAAAUAAAUUUCAUAUUUCAAGACACUAUACGUAUAUUGUCUAAGUACACGACGUCACCGUUGUUGUCACCUUAUUAAUCAUAAUGCUUAUAUAACAUGGACGAUUCAAUUAUAGAUGUGUAAGCACUAUAUUUUUUUAAUUGUGAUACCAUAAGACAUAUUUUGUUAGCAGUGAACGAAAAGGUAAAACGAGCGACACUGAUAAUCAAGCGCUCAGUAUGCUGUAAUGUCUUAUUGACAACAUAUUUAUUGAAUUUUGAGAUAAACUUCGGCUUAUUUAUGAGAAAGAGCUGUGCGCAUUUUCUUGUCGACCUCUUCUUAUUUUUAUAUGAGUCGGGUUUCUCCAAAGAAGCAAUAUCAUUUAAUUUCACAUUCAGAUGUAUUGAUGACGUUCUCUCCAUUAAUAAUUAAAACUUUUCUGAUUGGGUGCCAUUAAUUUAUCUUCCCGAUAAAAAUAGUCAAAGAAAAACAUACACGUUUUCCUUCGCUUCAUUUUAAGAACGAUACCUCGAAUUUGACAUAAGCAGUGAUCUCAGUACCAGAAUCAAUGACAAACGAGGCAGUCUUUAUUUUGAAGUUAAAAAUGUCAUCCAUCUCAGCAGCAAUAUUCCAACUUUACCUGUAUAUGAGAUAUACAUUUUCAAACUCUUUAAGUCUGUAUUCAAGAGAUUACAGCUGGUAUCCAGACUAUGCAUGUAAAACGUCAUUAGUGUCUGCGCAGAAAGUUGACGAACCAGGUCGGGUUAUGUCAUAGAACAUAUCUUCUUUUUUAUGAAAUUAUGUGUACUAAGCCUGCUACUUUUGAGAAGCUUUUUGAAGUCCUUUAGUACUUUCAAUAAAGCUAUUAACUUAUUCUUGACUGCUCUACAUGUAUAUCUAUGAUUCUUAUUUUUUUCAAGUUCUGCGUAUAUAUUCUAUUUCUUUAUUUUUACCUUCUCAUUUAAAUUCUUUUUGUAUAAAUCGUUUAGUCAAACUUGAAUAAUGAUGGUUCCAAGGUAAGGAUAUGUACGUGCUGUUUUAGAAAAGACAGAAUUUAUACAUUGGCCAUGCAUUGAAUGAAUAAGACAUAUGAAGAUGAUAGAGUUAUCUCUCGUUGUCCAAAUCUAGCUGUAACAUAACCAGAGAGACUGUACGGGUGCUAUUUUAUAAUUAGUGUAAGAACUGAUUUAGUCAUUUCUGAUUUGACAGUUCUACGGUUAGAACUGAUUUAGUCAGUUCUUCUGACAGUUCUCGGUUAGAACGUGACAUUUGACAGUCUACGGUUAGAACUUUUGAAUGGUUGACAUUGAACUAGAACUGAUUUGACAGUUCUUCUGGACAGUUCUUUAGAACUGUGUCAGUUCUGACAGUUUUAAGAACUGAUUUGGCCAGUUCUCUCUGACAGUUUUAGAAGCUAUAACUGAUUUGGUCAGUUAUUGACAGUUCUACGGUUAGAACUGAUUGGACAGUUUCUGACAGUUUACGGUUAUAACGUGGACAUUCUUCUGACAGUUCUCGUUUAGAAUGUUUAGACAUUCUUCUGACAGUUAGAACCAGCCCGUAGCAGGAAUUUCCCAGGGGGGGUUCGUUGACUCAUGAACUCGACUUUAACAGUCACAAUUUGAACAAAACGUUGACUUUAACAUGCUUAUUUGAUUUCAAAGGGGGUUCGUCUCGAACCCCGAACCCCCUGGCGACGGUUGAGAACUGUCUUGGACAAUUUUUUGUCACUUCUACGGUUAUAUAACUGUUUGGACAGUUCUGACAGUUCUACGGUUAGAACUGUUUUGGUCAUUCUUCGCAGUUCAAUUAAAACUGAUUUGGUCAGUUCUUCUGACAGUUCAAUGUAAGAACUGUGGUAUUCUUCUGACAGUUUCUAGAACUGUUUGGACAGUUCUGACUACGUUUAACUAAAGAACUGAUUUGGUCAGUUCUUCUGCAGUUCUACGGUUAGAAUUGAUUGGACAGUUCUUCUGACAGUUCUACGGUUAGAACUGUCAGUUUUUGCUACACAGUUCUACUUCUAUUAACUGACAGUUUAACGGUCAGUUCUAUUGAAUACGGAUAGACUGAUUCUAGCUUGCUGAGUUCUACGAUAGAACUGAUUUGAGAGGUUAGAAGUGACCCCCGCGGUAGUAUACUCGCGCUAUCAUUUUUUUAUGUUCAUUAGACCGUAAUAUUGUGGAUCAAAACUAUAUUUUGGCAUCAAAAUAAAAAAAAAAGAUGAUAAUUAUGCCAUCGGAAAAAUAUGUACUAAGUUUCAAGUUGAUUGGACUUAAACUUCAUCAAAGACUACCUUGAUCAAAAACUUUAACCAGAAGCAGGACGGACCAACGAAUGGACGGACCAACGAACGAAUGGACACAGAGAUAGAACAUCAUAAUGUCUGUAGGUGGUGCAUACAAAGCUCGCAAUAUUUGAAGUUUAAUGGUUGUUCCCUAAUAUAAAGCCAUAACUUUUUCAUACACGGUCUCAAGUAACGGACUAAUAUUUAACUAAAAAGUGAUCAUGCAACUGACACUGCUGGAUAUUUCGCUCAUAUAUUAAUUACAUGUAAAUGUAAUACCAUUUUUAUAGUUUCUCAUAACUCUUUUUAUGGUGGCUCUUGUUUAUAUAUAAAGCUGUAAUAUUAUGCAAAUGUUUUAUAAGAGGCGAGACAAAAAUAAAAUAUUGUAUUGUCUUGUCUUGUUUGUCUAUUUAAAAAAAUCCCGCCUGUACAAGCCUCUAUUUUUGUCGAUAAAUGUAUUUCGUAAUGUUAAACAUUUAAAUCACAUGGUUUGUCAUAACAAUAGGUCAGGUGAUUUUGAUAAAUAAAUAAAUUUAUAAAUAUACGUGUAUUUAGUUGUUUCACACGUACACACACCUAUAGUAGAUUUCAUUUUACACAAGUAAGUUUUUUUAUUAGAAUAUACAUUUUAAAUGCAUAACUUUACGUCGUAUUUUAUUAUUUAAUUUCACAUGUCUUGAUACGGUAACACUAUCACAUGCAGACUAUAUAAGGUUCACUGGUUCAUCGGUCUAACAAACGGAAAAAGAAAAAACUUCCUGUGUUUACACCAGUAGUUAGUACUUAUAUAUAGGUCCUUUGUUGAUAUGACCUAGGCGCCGUUUUACUAUUUAUUACUUUCAAGACACAUCUGGUCCGAGUACACAGUUAUUUCGCAGUGAAUUUCUUUUAGUCAAUAAACGAAAAUUAAAAAGAUCCCACCUGCGCUUUCUCAAUAAUAUUUUUACAGUGUGUUGUACUACUUUUGGGACAAAUUAAAUCAAAAUUACAGAUAACUUCAUCGGCUCUAACUCAAAAUAUGGAAAAUUUUAUGUUAAGGGUUUUUUUUUUUUUUAAAUUAUGUUUAAUUACGCGAGCAAAAUUUAAUGCACUACUCGACGGUUCCCAAGUGAAUAGCCUUCAUCUAUAGAUAUAUAUAUGGCUAGGAAUCUGACAUUCUGCAGUAACUGUAAUAUUUUCAAAAGUACUCAUAUGCAGUUGUGAUAAUACUAGAUUGAUUAAAACUCUAUUUUGUUUUUUUUUAAGGGGGUCUUGAAAUCUUUUGACAGUGCUAAUUUUUAACCUUUUUCAGCUGGACCCAAUCAAAUUGAUGACCCGAAUUUUUUGACAGUGUCAUUCCAUCCCCAUCCCACCAAACUUGCUAUUUGAGGCAUAAAACAUGGAGAAAAACAUUUGGAAGGGGAUUCAUAAAAAAUUGGCGAGUAACACACUGUCCUUACUAAGGACUAUAUGCGUACAACCACACACUACCAAUUUCAGUACGUACACGUGUUUCUUGAAGUUAAACUACUCCGAGGGGGGGGGGGGGGGGGGGGAGGGGGGCACUACAAACUCCUCCCCCCCCCCGCCCGAGAUAGCUACAGGUACAUACGUACGUUAUGGGCACAUUAUACGGACUUGGUGGGGUUAUCAAAAUAGACAGAAAAAAUAGGUUUAAAAAAAGGCAAACAAAAACUGAGACAAAUAUUAGUUAAAGAAUUUCGAAUGUUUGUGUGUUAAAAAUAAAGACUAGAGAAUAUGGGGAUAUGGGGAUAAAUACAUAAAUAAAGCAUAAAGAAAAAUGGCUCAAAAUACAAAAGAUAUAAAUGAAGAUCCCCUUCCAGACCCCCUGAUAGAAUGAGGUAAAUUCACUAUUACUUAUCAGCAACACGAAGGAUGACACAAGAGAAACAGACAUCUUUCUGGACCUGCUUAAGACCCUCUAGGGCACAUGACACCACCACUGGUUUCGAUGGGUUUGUGUUGCUCAGUUUAUAGUUGUCUAUGUUGUAUACCCUUGUUUGUCUUUUGGUCUAUUUCACUUUUUUGUUGCCAUAUAUAUAGUUUUAUUGGUUAAAAUUUAAAGAUAUGUGAUUUUGAUUGUCACAAUGUCAUCAUUCGCCUCUCUUUUUGGACGUCGAUAUUUAAAAGAUCCUUUCGCAAGCAUUGAAUUUAAAAAGCAUUUUACUAUUAAUUUUGUAUAUGUGCGCUAGAGAUACAAUGCAGUUACAAACACUUUAAUUGAAAUUUCACUAACCGAUUGCAAUGCAUUUGAGUUUUGUUUUCAGGACGAAAUAUGGAAUGAAAUAACAGUGUGUCAGGUAAAAUUAUUAAAUCCGAAUUUAACAAUGGUACCAGUUAAUAAUUAACGCCUGAUUAAAACCUUUGCUUGUGUCAUUGUAGAUUUUGAUAUGGUUCACGGAGGCGGACAUUGUUCUGGUGGUGGCGGAGGUGGUUUCAGCGGGGGUGGGGGAUUCAGUGGCGGAGGAUUCCGCACGACAGUCUACUCAAAUAAUUAUUAUUCGUCCCCUCGGAGUUAUGGUCGCGGAUCGGGAGGUUCAGAUGAUUGUGACUGUACUUGCUGUAAAUCGUGUUGUCUAGCAAUCACGUGUGUUUCGUUAAAACCAAAGUCACGCUUGAGAUUUCUUUGGUUUCUGGUUAUUGCAAUAACUUUAAUAAUUUCGUUAUCCGUCUCAUUUGGAACAUACGGAAAACAUACAACCGACACUUCUUCAAGCGACAUGCGACAUAUCUCUAACGGGAUUUCACCGAGAUUUUGUACCGGGGUUAAUGUCAAAAGUCAAAAUUACCCAGUAUCUGUGUACAUGUUACCAAACAAACCAGUCAUUAAUACAAAAAACAAAACUACCUUUACUUACAAUAAAUAUUCCAGUUUAGGGAGUCAGAUGUUUGAAUAUUGGGGUUUUUACCUAUUAGAAAAUUCGUUUGUGACAAUUAAAGCGUGUUCUAGUUACUCUAGAAAAGGAGUUGAUUAUUAUUUUGUUAAAGGAAAACAAAACUUACAAAGAUGGAAGAACGACAACUAUUGUGACUCGUGCUUUGAAUAUCAUAAGGCAACAGACGAAUGUAACGAUGGCAACUCUACUUUCCUGCAUAUUGCAUAUACAUCUGACGAAUAUUACUUUGUGUUUGCAAACCAUCAAGAUUAUUCGGAUCCAGUCAGCGUGACCGUUACAAUCGAACUAAAAAGAACGUACUAUGAUUUGUCGUCUGCCGUCCACAAAUGUAUGAAUUCUUACGAAUGUGAUGUGUCAUACACCAAUGACGAUUAUAGUGAAACUGUCGUCGUUGAAAUACCCCACAUCAAUACUGAAAACAUAGAAGUGGAUUCAACGUGUUACAGACGGGCCGGAGUUUUCGUGGGACUUUUCUUUAUCAUGCCACUGGGUAUCGGGAUUUCAAUAAGUGCUGUUAUUUACUUUGCUUGUAUUCGUAGGAGAACAAAACCGACAUCUACACCGUAUAGGGUAUUGCAAAAUCCAACAGGCGCACAAUACUCUACAUUCCCGGAAGCGUCGGCUCCAGUGAUGGAACGUGAUCAGGAGCUACCACCAGCGUAUCCGGGACCACCUUCGUAUGAAGAAUCGACAAAGACCGUCAAAAAGUAAAUGUAUCGAACAAUGAUCGAUUCAGACCAAAAAAAAGUAGAGGUUUCGAACAAUCGAUAAAGACAAACAAACAUUAUAUACUAUAUUUAAUCUUUUACAAAAACAUAUCUUUUGUUAUUUUAAUCGCCUUAUUUUAUGUUUAUAUUUUAAUACACAUGUUAAGAUACGAGUUUUACAAACCUGCUAGAAACUAACAAAUUCUAAGACAUGUCUUAAAUGGUAUGGUGUCUGAUUUUGAGGGCAGGUUGAGGAUUCUUACUUUAAGGUCUAUUCUUUUCAUAUGAUUAUAUACUGGCAAGUUUAGUAAAAACAAAUGUUUGACUUAUACUGUUUAGCUUGGCCUUAGCUGAGUAGUUACAGUAGUUCAUUUAGUGUAGUAAUAGGCUCACACUGAGAUUCUCAGUUGACACCCCG
rnacentral:lncRNA from 1 species